GUGGGUGUAGCUCAGUUGGUUAGAGCGUCGGAUUGUGGAUCCGAAGGUCGUGGGUUCAAGCCCCAUCUCCCACCCCA
rnacentral:tRNA from 2 species